UGAGCAAUCUGCCCUUCUCAUCGGAAUAAGCGUUGGAAACGACGUCUAAUGCCGAAUACGACCUCCUUUCGCAUGAUCGGAGGUGGAAAGCUCCGGCGGAGAAGGAUGAGCUCGCGGCCUAUCAGCUAGUUGGUGUGGGUAAUGGCCCACCAAGGCGACGACGGGUAGCCGGCCUGAGAGGGUGACCGGCCACACUGGGACUGAGACACGGCCCAGACCCCCGUACGGGAGGNAGCG
rnacentral:rRNA from 1 species